rnacentral:rRNA from 1 species
UACGGGGGGGGCAAGCGUUGUUCGGAAUUACUGGGCGUAAAGCGUGCGCAGGCGGUCUGCUAAGAGAGGUGUGAAAUCCCCGGGCUUAACCUGGGAACUGCGCUUCUAACUGGCAGGCUUGAGUGUGGCAGAGGGGGGUGGAAUUCCACGUGUAGCAGUGAAAUGCGUAGAGAUGUGGAGGAACACCGAUGGCGAAGGCAGCCCCCUGGGCUAACACUGACGCUCAUGCACGAAAGCGUGGGGAGCAAACAGG